AGUAGGGAAUCUUCCGCAAUGGACGAAAGUCUGACGGAGCAACGCCGCGUGAGCGAUGAAGGCCUUCGGGUCGUAAAGCUCUGUUGUUAGGGAAGAACAAGUACCGGAGUAACUGCCGGUACCUUGACGGUACCUAACCAGAAAGCCACGGCUAACUACGUGCCAGCAGCCGCGGUAAUACGUAGGUGGCAAGCGUUGUCCGGAAUUAUUGGGCGUAAAGCGCGCGCAGGCGGUCCUUUAAGUCUGAUGUGAAAGCCCACGGCUCAACCGUGGAGGGUCAUUGGAAACUGGGAGACUUGAGUGCAGAAGAGAAGAGCGGAAUUCCACGUGUAGCGGUGAAAUGCGUAGAGAUGUGGAGGAACACCAGUGGCGAAGGCGGCUCUUUGGUCUGUAACUGACGCUGAGGCGCGAAAGCGUGGGGAGCGAA
rnacentral:rRNA from 1 species